AAAACGAAUUUUGAAAACGUUCCUAAUCUGUGCCUGGUAUGACUUCGAAAGGUCGAGAGCCAGUAUUUUUCUUCUUCGACAUCGAAGCCGCGAACAGUUCAGUUGGUGCUGACAUAAUUCAAUUUGGGUUACGUGCGAUCCAAGUGUCCAUUUGAUGGCAGAGUUUAGUGCAUUUGUGAAAACAAAGCAGAAAUUAUCAUCAUUCACCAUCAAACACCAGAUCCUUUUCCUCUUGUUUUCAAGAGGAUGAUGAAAUGGGUGACCAAUAGGACUUUGGCAGCAAGCAGGAAAAGUAGAAAAAAGGGAAAACAACAGAAAAUGUUUUACCCAGUUUUGCUUGCUCAUGGUGGCAAUCGGUCGGACUUUCCGAUGUUGGUGGACAACAUCUCUCGCCACAAAGCCUCAUCCGGCUAUUUGUACCCGAGACUUCGUGUGGGGGACACAUACCAACUUUGUGUAAAGCUUCAAGAAAACGGUUUGCCAAUAUUUGACAAACAAACGAAAUUAGGAAUGGAAGGUUUGCACAAAUUAUUCUUCCCUGGUGAAGACUUUAAAGAUCGUCACAGUGCUUUGGGAGAUGCCAGGUUGAUGAGGCAAAUUUUCGGGGGGCCGCUUCGCAACCACCUGGAAGAAAUCGAAACAAAGACGUUGUCUUCCUUUGUGGGUUUGCAAAAAAAGAAAAAGAAAAAAAAAGAAACCAAACCAUUGGCGAAGGUUGGCAUUGAAUUCGAGCAUUAACUCAGUAUUCGCUAUGCAAUUUGACGUAACCGCCUAUUUGGAAAGUUGAUUGAUGAAAAUUGACUUGAUUAUCAAUUACUGCAUCAUGGCAGAGUCGGUCGCAUGCAACUUUAUAAACACUCCCGUAUAUGAAGCAAUAGCUUCCUGGAUAGAAACGGCCUCUCUACCGAUUGUUUUGUUGGGAGCCAAAGGAGUGGGAAAGACAACCACGCUAAUCAUGUUACAUGAAUCAUGCAAAAGACCGAAACAUUAUUUUGACCUUUCAAGUGAUCACG